rnacentral:lncRNA from 1 species
AUGCUAACAGAUUAUAGUGCUGGACUUCAGACCGCCAGCCUCCUCUUGCUUUGUGGGGAGGCUGAGGCUGCCCAGAGAAGCUGUGGAUGCCCCAUCCCUGGAGGUGCUCAAGGCCAGGCUGGAUGGGGCUUUGGGCAACCUGGGCUGGUGGGAGGUGUCCCUGCCCAUGGCAGGGGGUGGAACUGGCUGGUCUGUAAGGUCCCUUCCGACCCCAGCCACAGACACCUAACUUUGAGCAUCCACGGACCGUGCACAGACAGCGACCUGCAGCCUGGCUCCUCACUUGCAGCUCCCUGCGGGCCGGCGUCACGGGGCGCUCAGAGCCCCCUGACCGCAGCGAGCCCGUUCGUGCAGCUCAGCCCCAACGCCGGGGCCGCUCCCCUCCCUCCCCGAAACAAGCCGCCAGCUAACGGGCGCUCACGUUUCGCCCUCCGCCUCGGCCCUCGGCCCCCUGCCCGCUGCCGCCGAGCCCGCCUCGGCCCCGCUCCCCCGCCCCGAGCUCCCCGCCCCACCGCCAGGGCCCGCAGCGCGGCCGCUACUCACCCGGCCGCGGCGGGAGGGCCGGCCCGGGGGCGGCCGCAGGGGGAAGCCGAGCGCCGAGCCGCUCCGACACGGCGCGCAUGCGCGGGCGGGGGAGCAUGCGCGGCCGCUGCGGCAGCUUCAGGGUGGGCGGCGGGAGCAGGGCGGCCCGCAGGGCCCGCGGCAGUGGUGCUUUCCAGGGUCGACCAUUGGUUUUCAUCCGGGAGAGAACCAAAGGACAGUGCACGUUGCUGUGUGGUGACUUCAGAUCAUGGUGCUUCCAGAAAGCCAAUGCGUUGGGGUGAUGCCCCUUCAUACCACGUCAGAAGCAAUAAGCGUGAGCUUGAAUAAAUGAAGCACUAAUACAUUUCACGCUGAGAUGUAACUGUCAUACGAAGACAACUACAUUUUCUUUUUGACCACUGGGUACAUGAUUAAGCUGCAGUUGAAUAAAGAGUAACAAAUGUACUUUUUUUGUUUUGUU